ensembl:lncRNA
GUGUGAGGAGGAACACAAAACGAAAAGAAAAAACAUAGGGCUGGUAGUGAACGAGAGCACUUUAGAUUGAAAAAAAAUGUGAGGAUCCAGACAACUGAAGGUGAAUGGUUGUGUCAGGAAAGGGGUGGAAACGUGUGGGGCUGAAUCCCAGGAGGAAUGCUCUGACGUCAGCUAAAGAGAGGCUUUAAAUAAAGAGAUUUCAGGAGAAAUAGAGAACUGAAGACAAGAGGAGAGAGAGGAACUUCACAGCUUGAACUUUGGUGACCGGUUUGGACCAUGGGGAGGUGACUGUAGACCAGAUUCUCAAUGAAGGAUGAGUGUCCUACAAAACCGUGACACUUCUACCGCAGUGUACCAUGGGAUGCUAUAACUUGGCUCUGUCAUCUGGACAAUGUUUGGCUGCCCUUUUUUUGUCUCUGGGGUUGCUUUUGGGAACCGGCCUUCCCUACGGCAGGGGGUGUCAGCUGCAUGUGAGAAAUAAGAAAGGAGCAUUCGUAGGAGAAGGUAUAUCCACUCUGAUUGGCGAGUCACAAGAGAGCGUUGGUGGCAAGCACACCUCCCAUCCACCAUCCACACUCAUGCAACCUGCCUAGGGGAAGGGGAGGAGAAAGAAGAGGCAGGCAUGGUUGGAAAAAGGGAGGAGAUGAAGGGGAGGAAGCAUGGAGAGGAGGGGGCAUCCAUAUGUUAUCACUUUGCAAACUGCUUUACCCAUGCAGAGCAACUUUAUACAGAUGAAGGCUCUCAACAUAAAUGUACACAGUUGGUUGCGUUCUGAGAACAACGUAGGAUAAAAAUAAUAAGUUAUUAUUCUAUUCUAUCAUAUUCUAUUAUAAUUUUGUGGUCUCAUGGGAAACCUGUAACUUGAAAGGGAGAUUAUGCUAUGUGGCAUUUAAUAACAACCAAAGAGAAGAGGAAAACCAACAUUAUUUGCCACAGGUUCAGGCUCAGGAGCAAGGGUGUUGGUUUUAUAAUGCAUCUUCCACCAGCAGCAGCAUACCACCCAGCAUCUCACUGAUGGCGUACUUCUGGAUGUGGUGUUGGAGGGCCAGUAGGGGUCACUCUUCCCUCUGGUCUAAGAUCCCAGGGCAGUAAAAGGGACAUUGCCCUGCGCAGGGUGGUUAAACGGGUGUCCUGACUCUCUGUAAUCAUUAAAAAUCCCAUGGCACUAAUUGUGAUCUGGCCCCAUUCCAUCAUGGCCACCUAAUCAUCCCCCUCAUUGCUAAUUGGCAUAUAUCAUACCUUCUUCACCUGUUAGCUGGUGAGUGUUAGGGCACAAAAUUGGUUGUGAUUUUCCUGUGUUGUUAUGAUAUUUCCAAACUAUGAGGACAAAAUAACACUGAAAUUGUGAAAAUGAUGACAAUGCCCUUUUUGUGUAAUAGCUGUUUGGAAAAGAAAUCCUGAAAUUUCAGCCUGUUCAUGUGGGAUAGAGCUUUUGGCCCAGAUCAUGACAUCACAAUCUAAUCUAAAUAUAUUAACAGUUGUAUCAACACACCCAUAUGUUCAGACAGCAUUUCAAUGGCAAAAGGAGGUUCAGGGAAAUAAAUUAUUAAAAAGUAUAUUUGGAGUUAUUUUCAUGAAAUAAACAAACGCAGUGAUUUAUUAGACAUAUGGUG